rnacentral:rRNA from 1 species
UACGGGGGGGGCAAGCGUUGUUCGGAAUUACUGGGCGUAAAGGGCUCGUAGGUGGUCAACUAAGUCAUACGUGAAAUCCCUCGCUUAACCGGGGAACUGCGCCUGAUACUGGUUGACUUGAGUUUGGGAGAGGGACGCGGAAUUCCAGGUGUAGCGGUGAAAUGCGUAGAUAUCUGGAGGAACACCGGUGGCGAAGGCGGCGUCCUGGACCAAUACUGACACUGAGGAGCGAAAGCCAGGGGAGCAAACGGG